AUUGAACGCUGGCGGCGUGCUUAACACAUGCAAGUCGAUCGGUAACGCGGGGGCAACCCUGGCGACGAGAGGCGGACGGGUGAGGAACGCUUGGGAAUCUGCCCUUCAGCGGGGGACAACCCGGGGAAACUCGGGCUAAUACCGCAUACGCUCCACGGAGGAAAGCCGGGGACCGCAAGGCCUGGCACUGCAGGAUGAGCCCAAGUCGGAUUAGCUAGUUGGCGGGGUAACGGCCCACCACGGCGACGAACCGUAGCGGGUCUGAGAGGACGAUCAGCCACACUGGGACUGAGACACGGCCCAGACUCCUACGGGAGGCAGCAGUGGGGAAUAUUGGACAAUGGGGGAAACCCUGAUCCAGCGACGCCGCGUGGGUGAAGAAGGCCUGCGGGUUGUAAAGCCCUUUCGGUAGGGACGAAAGCUCUCGACCUAACACGUCGGGAGGUUGACUUAACCUACAAAAGAAGCACCGGCUAACUCUGUGCCAGCCGCCGCAGUAACAC
rnacentral:rRNA from 1 species